AUGCCAAUGGAUAAGGCACCCGAAGCGGCAAUAACCUCACAUGCCCAUUUAUAUAAAUAUAAAGAAAAACAUCAAGUAUCACAACAUGAAAGAAGGCAACAAAUUCUUAGUGAACAAAAAUAUAAAAGGCACAUUGAAGCAGAUAAAAACAGAGAAUUAUAUGGUAAAUAUCUCGAAGAAUUAGAGGAAUCCGAUGUUGAAGAUUUCAAACAAGUGGAUGAAUGUGAUAUUGAAGAUUUUAAACAUACGGACGAGUCUGUACAACAUUUGGAGAAACCUGAACAAGAAGAACCAGAUGAAUAUGAAGAAAUGGAAUAUGUGCAGUCUGAAGUACAAUAUCGUCGACCUGAAUCUACUGAAUUCAAAUUGAUGUUGACAGAAUGGUUUAUAGAUAUUCCAGAUGAUUUGGAAGAGAACUGGCUUUGUAAAUUUGCUCCAGAAGGUUUUCGCGUAUUGCUACUAGCAUACAAGCGCCGAACACUUUUUUUCACUAUCAAAAGUAGAUAUUUAUUUAAAUUAAAGACUCAUUUUCCUGGAGGCGGUGGAAUUAAUGCAACAGGAGUUACAGUUUUAGAUUGCAUAUUUAAUAAGCGUAAUAAAACGUUCUUUGUACUAGACUGUUUAUAUUGGUCGGCUAUGUAUACUUUGGACAGUGAAGCUAAUUUUAGAUUUUAUUGGUUGAAAACGAAAUUUUAUGAAAUGCCUGAACUAUAUAAAUCUGUCAGUAAAAAAUACACUUUCCAUUUGAUCGAAGCUAUUCCUCUGGAAAGAUCUUUACUACAGGAAAAAAUUUUCCAAGUACUCAAAUUAGAGGAAAAAGAAAUAUUAUACGAUGGAAUAGUGUGUUAUCACUCAUGCGGAUUCUAUACUUUCAGUUAUAGUCCUCUAGCAACCUGGCUUUACUGCUAUAUGUUGCCAGAGAAAUUGGGAAUAGAUGUCCCAGAGGUUUAUCUUGCGAAAAAGCCAAAAGGAUAUAUAAAUUUUCAACAGUACAUUGAAAGCAAGAUGUCAGGUAGGGAGAGGUAUAAUAAGAAAAAAAGUCAUGAACGAUUAAAUAAAAAUGGUGAUUUAGAUGUGAGCUCUGUUAAUAAUACAGAAAAGAGCAAAAAUAAUAGUUCAGAAGUGAAAACAUAUAAUACAGAAAUGGAUAGUUAUGCAUUUAAUAAAAGUGAUAAUGACAUAAUGGAAUCAUGAUUUUCAUAGUCAACAUGUGGCCAACAUUUUAAAAUAAUCGAUUUUAUUACCAGAUGACAAAAAGUGAUUUUGAUUAUAUUAUUUGAGUGUUUAUUAAACUGAAUAACAUUUUUUUUAAAUAAUAAUAGUUGUUUCAUUUUGUAAAUAAAUAAAAUAUAUGAACAAAAAGUAUAAGGGAUUCUGUAAUGAAGUAAGCUGUUGGUAGAUUAUUCAAUUAAAUUGUUUACAAAUAACUAAGACUAAGAAAGACAAAAUUAUAACGCUCCCCCCGUAUAUUAGGUUUCCCAAUGAGCCUUACGUAAUUUGUACACGUUCCCUGAAGUUGAUGAUUUGUGUAAUAGGUUUUAUUUUUUUCUAUGUAUAGGAAAGUUUGAAACAGUCGUUUGUAUUAAUGCUCGAGUCAACACCACUUAAGCCUCUUAUUACAUAAUUACAUCUUAAUUAUAAUACAUCAUUAUUCAAUCCUUAAACGCAAAGCAUGUUGUGUUGCAGUUUUAUUUUAUGUAAAAAGCAAGCAAAAUUAUUAUUAUCACCUCUAAAUUAAAAUAUUAAAAAAUAAUUAUACGAAAAAAUUUCUUUUGUUUGUUUAUUAAGUACAAAACUUUUUAGACAACAUUGCUAUUAAAUUAUUUUUAUAUUCAUACCAUAACAUGAUAAUAUUAACAAUAUAUACAGCAAAAAAACGGGCACUUCAUAUUUUUCUUAUUAGAAGCUAAUUUUCAGCAAUGUAUUUGUUUUUGUGGGCAUUCUAGUUAUUACCUAGAAUGUACGGUUUAAAUCUAUAACCUAACCUAACCUAACUAAUCCCUUCAGGAUUAGUAAACAAUUAGAUAAAACUGAGAUUUGAUCUAUUUGCCUUAAAGUUGAUUUACCUGUCGGACCUAUUUUAAACUUCGAAAUAUUUGACGAUUCUACGUACGUAAUACACACCGUCGUAAGAAAGAUUGUACACGAGACCUUUGGGGAUGUGAGAAGAAAAUCCGUGUCCUGGUAGGUCGAUACAGAAGAAAGAAUGGCCUCGUUCUAUUAUGUACGGAGCUACGGUGUCGAAAGUGCCGCUAUUAUCUUGCCAACCGUGGAUGCCGAUGAUUGGUUGUACGUUUGUGGAACCCCACCAUUUUCCUUUAAUAAAUAAUUUGUUUAUCACCAAAAUGAAUAAUUUUUUUAAAUUUUAUUUACCGCAAAUGUAACCCCACGGAACCGGUACUUUGAUUUCCUUGAAAUCGUUCAAAUUUGCUGUAAUGAAAAUUUAAAAAAAAUGAUAGAAUUAAUUAAUGAAUUAUAAUAGUUGAAGUUCAAGUUCAAUUUCAUUCCAUUGAUACUUGUAUAAGUUGCAAGGUUAACACAAUUGGAAUUUAUAAUUUUUUAUUGUCCAAAAAUUUGGUAAGUACUAAAAUUAUUCAAAUAGAUUUUUCAAUUUUCAAUUCAUAUUUUUUAGUAUUUAUCAAAUUUGUAUAUCAAUAUUCAUACUUGAGAGAUGUGAAAUUGUUUCAAAACACAUUUACUUGAAUUACUAUAUUUUAUGACAAUAAAAAUUAAGAUCGCAAAAACUGUUUUAAGAAAAUGUCGUCCUGAAUAUUGAUUUCUUAUUAAUUCUGCGAUACGCUUGGCAACAUAGCGUUGAAUUCGUUUUACGAUGGAUGACGUAACUUUUGUCUGGGUUACUGUUCUUCACUAGUUAUAAUCUUAUAGUCCAGUCACAAAUUAUAGAAAUUAGAUAUAACAUGGUAAUUUUUCUGAACAUUUGUUUUAUAUUUGAAAAAUACCGGAAGAAAUAAACAUUUCAUGAACUAUAUAAUGCUUGAAUCAUAAAUGGUGAGAUUAAUUUAAAAAAAAAUGAUUAAUUUCUACAGGAAAAGUACAUGUUUUAUUAUUCUUUUGGUUUUUGCAGAAAUUUUACAGUUUUCCAAUUAAUACUAAAGUUUUCUUUCUAAACAAAAAAACUGGGAAAAUUCUAUGUAUUAAUUCACUUAUUUGUUAAUGCGUAUUUUCAUUAUGAAUCUAUUUAUUCAAGUUUUCAUUUUUCCUAUACUUUGUUUUCAUUAUAUAAAAUUGUGUGAAUUUUAUAUGCAAAAGGCUUUAAAGCAUUAACCCUCAGGUUACAAGUACAAUAUAAUUUUUGAACUUUGACGUAUUUACUACUUUCAUUCUAAAAACAGUUAGCUACUGGACUAUAACCGCGUAUUUAUUCAAUAAUGAUGAAAGGCAUUAAUAUUUACUUCUUAAAUGAUAUAUACUUGAUUGGUACGUUUCUUUUUAUAAUCCCCAUUAAAACUAUAUUAAUCUAUGGAGAAAUUGUCGUGUAUGUUGUUAUUUUAUCUAAUAAUUAAGUUUUGUCAACUAUUUCUACAUGAUAAAGUUGCCGCUGUACUAUAUCUCAUACGAUGAUGUCAUCUUUAAGUUUAUUAUAUAAGUAUUGACGUUGUAAUGCUAAAUUUUAUAUAUUCAAAAUGUUAUUAGUAAAUAAUACUAUGUUUUUUAUUAAAAAUAUAUGAAAUAAUGAUAAAA